rnacentral:tRNA from 1 species
ACACAAAUGUCAGAAUUAUAUGAGUUGGUUUUAAGCAUCAAAUAUGGGGUUUUCCCCCUUUGUGUU